CAAACGAAAAAAUACGUAAUCACCCGAGGAAAACCAGAGGAUCUGGCGAAAAACCUUGGUGAUUACGAGUCCGGAUUCCGAAUACACCGGGGGCAACCCUGCGUGACCGAACUAAUUAUAAUAUAUACCAUACCUACCCAUACCUACCAAUACCUACCAAAAUCCAGAAAAGUAAGAAUCUUGCAAAAAAAACUCAAAAAAAAAAUCUCACGAGAUGUAAAAAAAGAACAUUGUAGACCACCCGAUCUACAGAUUGCGCAAGACAAAUAUAUCUCUUUUUAUGAACAAAUUGUUCCACAUAAGGGUAUAUUUAUCUUAACCUUGAAACCUGAAAAUAUUUCAGAUAUGUUCAGGACAAGGUGCGUGGCAAACCAAUCCAAUGGCCCAACAUAUUUUACGAUAGUUUGUAAAAGGUGUUAGGACACUUGGAUGCAUUUUGAAGAUGUGAUGUGUGCAUUUCUAUAUUUAGAUUUUUGGCGUAUUUUGCUUUUAUCGCGCGCAAGAAAAUGGCGACGCGCGCACUCAAUUUAAAAUUAGCAUGCACUGCUUUUCAUGCCCUCAAUUUCACUAAGCA
rnacentral:lncRNA from 1 species